rnacentral:rRNA from 1 species
UACGGAGGGGGCUAGCGUUGUUCGGAAUUACUGGGCGUAAAGCGUACGUAGGCGGCUUUGUAAGUUAGAGGUGAAAGCCCAGAGCUCAACUCUGGAAUUGCCUUUAAGACUGCAUCGCUUGAAUCGUGGAGGGGUUAGUGGAAUUCCGAGUGUAGAGGUGAAAUUCGUAGAUAUUCGGAAGAACACCAGUGGCGAAGGCGACUAACUGGACACGUAUUGACGCUGAGGUACGAAAGCGUGGGGAGCAAACAGG